rnacentral:rRNA from 1 species
UAACACAAUGCAAGUCGCGAACGGGAGAGUGAGGCAAGGAGUAACUCCAGUGGCGGACGGGUGUGAAGGGUAGUAACGCGUGAGAAUCGCCUUUUGGGUUCGGGGACACUACCACUGGAAACGGUGGCUAAUACCGGAAUGUUGCCUGUGGGUAAAAGAUUAAUUGCCAGAAGAGGAGCUCGCGUCUGAUUAGCUAGUUGGUAGGGUAAAAGCCCUACCAAGGCAUCGAUCAGUAGCUGGUCUGAGAGGAACGAUCAGCCACACUGGGACUUGAGACACGGCCCAGACUCCUACGGGAGGGCAGCAGUGGGGGUAAUUUUCCGCAAUGGGCGAAAGCCUGACGGAAGCAAGACCGCGUGAGGGAAGAAGGCUCUUGGGUCGUAAACCUCUUUUGUUAGGGGAAAACACAAUGACGGUACCUAACGAUCAGCCUCGGCUAACUCCGUGCGCCAGCAGCCGCGGUUAAUACGGAGGAGGCAAGCGUUAUCCGGAAUUAUUGGGCCGUAAAGCGUCCGCAGGUGGCGAUUCAAGUCUGCGGUCAAAGACUGGGGCUUAAACCCUGGAAAGGCCGUGGUGGAAACUGAAAAGCUAGAGUGCAGUAGGGGGUAGAGGGAAUUCCCGGUUUGUAGUAGCGGUGAAAUGCGUAGAGCUCGGGAAGAACAAUCGGUGGCGAAAGCGCUCUGCUGGACUGCUAACUGACACUCCAGGGACGAAAGCUAGGGGAAGCGAAUGGGAUUAGAUACCCCAGUAGUCCUAGCCGUAACGAUGGAUACUAGGUGUGGCUUGUAUCGACCCGAGCCGUGCCGUAGCUAACGCGUUAAGUAUUCCCCGCCCUGGGGAGUACGCACGCAAGUGUUGAAACUCAAAGGAAUUGACGGGGGCCCCGCACAAGCGGUGGAGUAUAUGUGGUUUAAUUCGAUGCAACGCGAAGAACCUUACCAGGGCUUGACAUGUCGCGAAUCUUGGGGGAAACCUAAGAGUGCCUUCGGGGAGCGCGAACACAGGUGGUGCAUGGCUGUCGUCAGCUCGUGUCGUGAGAUGUUGGGUUAAGUCCCCGCAACGAGCGCAAACCCUCGUCUUUAGUUGCCAGCAUUAAGUUGGGCACUCUAGAGAGACUGCCGGUGACAAACCGGAGGGAAGGUUGGGGAUGACGUCAGGUCAGCAUGCCCCUUACGUCCUGGGCUACACACGUACUACAAUGCGACGGACAAAGGGCAGCAAGCCAGCGAUGGCAAGCCAAUCCCAUAAACCGUGGCUCAGUUCAGAUCGCAGGCUGCAACUCGCCUGCGUGAGGAGGAAUCGCUAGUAAUUGCAGGUCAGCAUACUGCAGUGAAUCCGUUCCCGGGCCUUGUACACACCGCCCGUCACACCAUGGAAGUUGGCCACGCCCGAAGUCGUUACCCUAACCGCUUGCGGAGGGGGACGCCGAAGGCAGGGCUGAUGGACUGGGGUG